rnacentral:tRNA from 1 species
AGCUAAUGAGCUUGUAUAAGUUUAUAUUUUGAAAAUAUAAGAAAGGGGGAAUCUCCUAUUAGCUU